AUACGGAGGGUGCAAGCGUUAAUCGGAAUUACUGGGCGUAAAGGGCGCGUAGGUGGUUCUGUAAGUCGGGUGUGAAAGCCCCGGGCUCAACCUGGGAAUUGCAUUCGAUACUGCAGGACUAGAGUAUGGUAGAGGAAAGCGGAAUUCCCGGUGUAGCGGUGAAAUGCGUAGAUAUCGGGAAGAACACCGGUGGCGAAGGCGACUUCCUGGAUCAAUACUGACACUGAGGUGCGAAAGCGUGGGUAGCAAACAGGAUUAGAUACCCCGGUAGUCC
rnacentral:rRNA from 1 species